rnacentral:rRNA from 1 species
CCAGACUCCUACGGGAGGCAGCAGUGAGGAAUAUUGGUCAAUGGGCGCGAGCCUGAACCAGCCAAGUAGCGUGAAGGAUGACUGCCCUACGGGUUGUAAACUUCUUUUAUAAAGGAAUAAAGUGAGGCACGUGUGCCUUUUUGUAUGUACUUUAUGAAUAAGGAUCGGCUAACUCCGUGCCAGCAGCCGCGGUAAUACGGAGGAUCCGAGCGUUAUCCGGAUUUAUUGGGUUUAAAGGGAGCGUAGGUGGAUUGUUAAGUCAGUUGUGAAAGUUUGCGGCUCAACCGUAAAAUUGCAGUUGAAACUGGCAGUCUUGAGUACAGUAGAGGUGGGCGGAAUUCGUGGUGUAGCGGUGAAAUGCUUAGAUAUCACGAAGAACUCCGAUUGCGAAGGCAGCUCACUGGACUGCAACUGACACUGAGGCUCGAAAGUGUGGGUAUCAAACAGGAUUAGAUACCCGAGUA